AGAGUUUGAUCCUGGCUCAGGAUGAACGCUGGCGGCGUGCUUAACACAUGCAAGUCGAACGAUGGUCCGGUGCUUGCACCGGGGAUUAGUGGCGAACGGGUGAGUAACACGUGAGUAACCUGCCCUUGACUCUGGGAUAAGCCUGGGAAACUGGGUCUAAUACCGGAUAUGACUCCUCAUCGCAUGGUGGGGGGUGGAAAGCUUUAUUGUGGUUUUGGAUGGACUCGCGGCCUAUCAGCUAGUUGGUGAGGUAACGGCUCACCAAGGCUUCGACGGGUAGCCGGCCUGAGAGGGCGACCGGCCACACUGGGACUGAGAUACGGCCCAGACUCCUACGGGAGGCAGCAGUGGGGAAUAUUGCACAAUGGGCGAAAGCCUGAUGCAGCAACGCCGCGUGCGGGAUGACGGCCUUCGGGUUGUAAACCGCUUUCAGUUCCGACGAAGCGCAAGUGACGGUAGGAACAGAAGAAGGACCGGCCAACUACGUGCCAGCAGCCGCGGUGAUACGUAGGGUCCGAGCGUUGUCCGGAAUUAUUGGGCGUAAAGGGCUUGUAGGCGGUUCGUUGCGUCGGAAGUGAAAACUCAGGGCUUAACCCUGAGCCUGCUUCCGAUACGGGCGAACUAGAGGGAUGCAGGGGAGAACGGAAUUCCUGGUGGAGCGGUGGAAUGCGCAGAUAUCAGGAGGAACACCGGUGGCGAAGGCGGUUCUCUGGGCAUUUCCUGACGCUGAGAAGCGAAAGCGUGGGGAGCNAACAGGCUUAGAUACCCUGGUAGUCCACGCCGUAAACGGUGGGCACUAGGUGUGGGGGACAUUCCACGUUCUCCGUGCCGAAGCUAACGCAUUAAGUGCCCCGCCUGGGGAGUACGGCCGCAAGGUUAAACUCAAAGGAAUGACGGAAGGGGAAUCGCGCGCACCN
rnacentral:rRNA from 1 species